GAUGAACGCUGGCGGCGUGCCUAACACAUGCAAGUCGAGCGAAGCAUAUGGAAUGAAGUUUUCGGAUGGAUUUCUGUAUGACUGAGCGGCGGACGGGUGAGUAACGCGUGGGUAACCUGCCUUAUACAGGGGGAUAACAGUUAGAAAUGACUGCUAAUACCGCAUAAGCGCACAGUACCGCAUGGUACGGUGUGAAAAACUCCGGUGGUAUAAGAUGGACCCGCGUCUGAUUAGCCAGUUGGCGGGGUAACGGCCCACCAAAGCGACGAUCAGUAGCCGACCUGAGAGGGUGACCGGCCACAUUGGGACUGAGACACGGCCCAA
rnacentral:rRNA from 1 species